rnacentral:lncRNA from 1 species
CGGUCCCACCCUGCAACUUUUUCUUAUCUUCAUCAUUUACGUUACAUAUUCAUAAGCUCUUUGCCAUGUUCCAGUUCAAUACACUUCAUCAUCCUAAUUGAAUUCAACCUAAAUUUAACCUUCAUAACAAAGCCCCUGUCAGACUCCCUUGAUCACACUUUACUCACAUUGAGACUCUGCAGCACAUCCUGAGACACUCACAUGUCCCCAUCUCUUCCUUUACGUUUU